GUGUGUGAUGUGUGUGUGUGUGUGUGUGUGUGUGUGUGUGUGUGUGUGUGUGUAAAAAGCUGCCUGCAACAGGCAGCACGGUGUCGCUCCUGGAGA